AUACGUAGGGCGCAAGCGUUAUCCGGAUUUACUGGGUGUAAAGGGCGUGUAGGCGGGAGUGCAAGUCAGAUGUGAAAACUAUGGGCUCAACCCAUAGCCUGCAUUUGAAACUGUACUUCUUGAGUACUGGAGAGGCAGGCGGAAUUCCCGGUGGAGCGGGGAAAUGCGUAGAUAUACGGAGGAACACCAGUGGCGAAGGCGGCCUGCUGGACAGCAACUGACGCUAAGGCGCGAAAGCGUGGGGAGCAAACAGGAUUAGAUACCCUGGUAGUCCACGCUGUAAACGAUCGAUACUAGGUGUGGGGGGACUGACCCCCUCCGUGCCGCAGCUAACGCAAUAAGUAUCGCACCUGGGGAGUACGAUCGCAAGGUUGAAACUCAAAUGAAUUGGCGGGG
rnacentral:rRNA from 1 species